rnacentral:rRNA from 1 species
CCUAACGGUUAAUACCCGUUAGCGAUGACAUUAGCUGCAGAAUAAGCACCGGCUAACUCUGUGCCAGCAGCCGCGGUAAUACAGAGGGUGCAAGCGUUAAUCGGAAUUACUGGGCGUAAAGCGAGCGUAGGUGGCUUGAUAAGUCAGAUGUGAAAUCCCCGGGCUCAACCUGGGAACUGCAUCUGAAACUGUUAGGCUAGAGUAGGUGAAAGGGAAGUAGAAUUUCAGGUGUAGCGGUGAAAUGCGUAGAGAUCUGAAGGAAUACCGAUGGCGAAGGCAGCUUCCUGGCAUCAUACUGACACUGAGGCUCGAAAGCGUGGGUAGCAAACAGGAUUAGAUACCCUGGUAGUCCACGCCGUAAACGAUGUC